AAAAAGUAAAAAAAUAAAUAUUAAAAUUUUUAAAAUAAAAAAGACUAUUUUGGUUAUUUUCUUUUUUAAGGGUUAUUUUUGUGAUAAAAAUUUUAAAUGGUUAUUCGAAAGAAUUACCUUGUUGACAAUGCUUUGAUUUUCCUUUCACCGCUCUGAAAUAGAACUAUAGAAAGAACUCAGCUGACAUCUUCACGAUGAAUCAUAAGAAAGAGUAGUUUACAAAAAAAAAAGAAUCAUAAAAAAGAUUAUCUACUUGAGAAGAAUAAAGUAUUCAAUUAGAAUUAAAAGGUAGCCUGCAUCCGAUUUCUUUUUGCUACACUCCAACCCCCGGAAAGCAAACUGAAGAAGAAGAAAACGAAACUAAAAAUUCGUUUAUAGAAUUGCAGAUGAUAAUUCAGUUUUGAACGUGGUGGUAGACUGGUAGUUAUCUCAGAAAUCUAAAGAUUUAAGAAUUGCAUUUUCAUAAAAGUAGGAUCGCAAGAAGCCAAGAACCAUAGCUUGCUGAUUUUUUUUUUAGAAAACUAAUACUCUAAAAAACUACAUAAAAAUAAGUGAAUGACACAUGUCACUCAUAGAAAUGCCAAUUGACUUAUGUUUUAUAAUAUAAAAAAUCGUGCUAAGUCAAACAAGUAGAAAAGAAAACGAUGUUGUAUAUAACUUCGAUUUGCUUCACUUUUUCAUUUGCGCAAAUGUGUCCUUUAGUUUCAAAAAGUUUGUUGGAGGUUGGCUAAUCACGGUAACAUUCAUUCUCCCGUGAGCAUAAACCGAUAUGCAUCAUCAUCUCCUUUAAACUUUAAUUAUUAUAGGAAUGAAACAAUAUGCAAAACUGUUAAGUAAUGUAUCUGGACUAUAUAACUCAUUAGCUAAUCUACAUCACACACAUGUAAAGGAAUAGAGAUUAAUUUUGAAUGAUAAAGAUAUAAAGCUAGGAAUAUCUCUAGUUUUAUAAGAGACGCGUAUGUGAGUGAAUAUUUCAUUUAAUUUUCAACCUCGUGAGAUAUCAUGUUCUUUUUUCAGAGACAUCUCAUGUGUAGUCGACCAAACUUUAAUCCCUCCCCGUUUUAAUGAUCAUCUUUUACCAUUUUACGAAACUUGUUUUAGAUCAAACCUUUUAUCAUAAAAAUAUAAUGUAAAUGAGAUUUUUUUUCCCUCAGACAGCUGUUGUACUCAAAUUUGAAGUGAUAUGGUAAUAUAUAUAUAUCCAUAUGAAAAAAUUUUGAUAUCUUAACUAAUGAAUUAGACGAUACAUUUUCAGAACGAAAAAUAAAAACAAUCAGAAAAUCGGAGAAUCUGUUCUUUAGUCUUGACAACUUUUUCAGUCCAGUGAAAAAAAAUUCGACCAUGCUCAUAAAUCUUGAAUCAUCGAAAUUAAAUCAUUGUAAUAGGUGCUAAAAAUCUACAAGUCAAUAAAUGUAGCAUGCACUCCAUAGCCUGAAAACUUUAAAUUCCUGAGUGUAGUGGUGAGAUCUUUGUGCGUUAGUUUUUUACUCCUAAAAUUUGAAUUACUCCUUUUGAAUUACCCUCAAAUGAGAUUUGGUUAAAGUAGUGGGAAACAGGGUGGAAUAACUUGUAUGCGAAGAAUCACAUCCCCUUCCCCGUUCUGCCAAAUGGACAUGACAUGGCUCAAUGUCACCCAACUAAUUAAAUAAUGACACGUUUAUUUACCACGUCACGCCGUAGUGCAUGGCAGUUGAAAGAAUCAAUCUGUUUGGUUCCACUUCCAAUCUGGUUUCAGCACCGUUAUAGAGAACCCACCGGAAAUCUAUAACUCUCGAUAGGCAAAACCGUCAUUACAUAUCAGUGUAAAUAAAUGCGCAUUUCACGACGGUUAGUGGUGGUGUGAGUGUGACACCAUAUCUUUUGCUAGUUACGUUCAUAGCCCCUGACAUUAUCAUACAGUACUGGUUUUUUGUGUCGUAUUUUUAUAUCAUGAUUCAAAUCAUGUAAAUGUUCAACGUACCCAAAGAAGAGACGCGAUUUGUGUGGGUACCUUAAAUGGAAAAGAAUACAUCGGUACACAAACUAUACCCGGAUUAAAAAAACGUAUAAUACACACUAUAGGGUAAAAUCAUCAUGAAUCUGGGAACCCAAGUUGCAGAGGGUAAGUUGGUAAAUUGAAUGAAGGCACGUGCCACAGAGAAUUACAGUCAACCCGCUUCAAAGAUAUUCCGAGAGUAGGUCCCACUAACUAACUUGCCAUUACCCCCCUCGUUGUAGCCCACUAAUAGGCCCACACUCACAGUCCCCUCAACGCUGCAUCAUAUGCGCGUGAAAUCCAAAGGCGCGUGGAUAGGAGGAAACCUCUCCCCCACCACCACCAGUCAGUCGUCUUCCUUCUCCUUCAAAUACCUCUCCUGAAACUCAUUAUUAAAAAAACUUAACGAAGCAGUAACCUCCUCCGCUUUUUUAAAAAUAUCACUUCAUCGAUACUCGUGAAAAGAUCACCAUGGAGCCUACUAGCUUAAUCGACGACGCUGAGUUCUCCCUUCCGCCGGAGCUUCUCACCGACGAUGAUUUCCUCGUGGAGGAGGAGAACAAGGUCGAUCGGUUCGGAAACUGUUUGUUCCCGUACGAGUCGAGUCAUUUUGGCUCUACCGUUAAACCAAUCGAUGACGAGGAGGAGAAGCUCGUAGCUGGAUUGACCAGUAAAAUGGUUAAGUCGUCUCUGAAAGAUGAUUUCUCCGGUGGAAAUCUCGGUAGCCACGCUUUUCCGGCGGGGAACGACGCCAAGACGCAAGUUUCUUCUCAGACGGUGGCGUGGGAUCUGCACUACGCACCGGCGGAGGAACUCAACGGUUAUAACAACCAUAAUGGCAGAGGACUGCUCGAUCUUCCCAGAAAAUAUACCCUCGCCGCAGCUAAAAUCACUAACGCCGGCUCUAGCUACUAUAACCGCCAAACUCUCCAGUACCAGAGGCUACAAGCUAUCCACUUUCAGCAGCUAAAGCAGCAGCAGCAGCAGUUGAUGAAGUACCAUCGCCAGUUGAUGCAGCAGCAGAGCAGAGGAUUAGGAGCUAAUAAUAACAGCAACAACAAAAUUGCUGGUUCUGUGGACUUGUCGCCGUCUGCAUGGUUUAAUCAGCCUCAGAGGGGUGAUGUUCCAGUAGGAAACCGUACCGGGAAACGUGGAUCAACCGGAACCGGCGUCUUCUUGCCCCGUUGUGUUAACCAUGUAACUGCCGCGGUUCGCCAGAAGCCCAUGCUUGCGACGAGUUUGGUUCCCGCUAGAGUGGUACAGCCAUCGGUCCGGUCGUCGCCUAGUCUAAAUGAUGGGUCGUGGAGCAACGAUGGCGGAUUCUCGAGCCAGAUGAAGAUGGAGCAGCCAGUGAAAGAGGAUCCCCGGUUACCUUUGGACUGGGCGUAUUGAUGGAUUUGGGUUUCCGUAACAUUUGGGUGGUGGUUUUUAGGAAAGGUUUGAAGAAGUUGAAGAAGAAAUAAAAUUAGAUUUGAUGAACAGGGUAGUGAAAAUAGUGGUGACAUUAGGGUUUAUAUAAAUAAUGAAAGAAUAAUAAAAUAAAGAAAUGAUAAAAGAGGAAGAUAUGGAGAAGACGAGGUUUUGGAUCGUUUUAACCCCCAUUGUUGGCUGAUAGAGGAAGAUGACCUUUUUUUCCUUGGGUUUUUGUUUGUUUAUGGUAUUAACCGCUGCUUUAGUACUCCCCUUCGGCCCUUCCUCUCUGUCUCUCUUUUAAUCUCAUAACUCUCAAGCAAUGGAGGGUGUAUUAUUGACAACGAUGCAUGCAUCAUUUCUUGAGUCUUUUUGCAUGCUGAA